UACAGAGGUCUCAAGCGUUGUUCGGAUUCAUUGGGCGUAAAGGGUGCGUAGGUGGCGCCAUAAGUCAGGUGUGAAAUCUCGGGGCUUAACUCCGAAACUGCAUUUGAUACUGUGGUGCUUGAGGACUGGAGAGGAGACUGGAAUUCACGGUGUAGCAGUGAAAUGCGUAGAUAUCGUGAGGAAGACCAGUGGCGAAGGCGGGUCUCUGGACAGUUCCUGACACUGAGGCACGAAGGCCAGGGGGAGCAAACGGG
rnacentral:rRNA from 1 species